rnacentral:ncRNA from 1 species
UUAGUCGGGGUGCCUCUAUUAAUGGCUGAGAAAUACCCGUGAACCUGAAACAGAUAAUGCUGGCGUAGGAAACUAAUCAUCUC